AAGAAACCAACAGGGAUUGCCUCAGUAACGGCGAGUGAAGCGGCAAAAGCUCAAAUUUGAAAUCUAGUGCUUUCAGUACUCGAGUUGUAAUUUGAAGAUGGCAACUUUGGAAGUGGCCUUUAUCUAUGUUCCUUGGAACAGGACGUCACAGAGGGUGAGAAUCCCGUCUGAUGAGGUGAUCCACUUCUAUGUAAAGUGCCUUCGAAGAGUCGAGUUGUUUGGGAAUGCAGCUCUAAGUGGGUGGUAAAUUCCAUCUAAAGCUAAAUAUUGGCGAGAGACCGAUAGCGAACAAGUACAGUGAUGGAAAGAUGAAAAGAACUUUGAAAAGAGAGUGAAAAAGUACGUGAAAUUGUUGAAAGGGAAGGGUAUUAGAUCAGACUUGGCGGUUGUCGAAAAUCUGUUCCUUGUGGACGGUGCACUCGACCUCAGCUGGGCCAGCAUCGAUUGGAGCGGUGGGAUAAGGGUUGUUGGAACGUGGCUCCCCCGGGAGUGUUAUAGCCUUCAGCACAUACCACCCGUUUCGAUCGAGGACUGCGUC
rnacentral:rRNA from 1 species